UCCUCCUCAAUUCAAAUACAGUUCCUCGCCGUGUUGGACAUGUGAUGAAAAAGUGACGGCUUCUCGCGCUCCGCUACGCCUUCUAUUUCAUCAUCAGCAACACCCCCCCUCUUCACUACGCGUUCACCAUCUCCUCUCUCUCUCUGUCUCUUUUUCACCCCCCCUAACCUCCUGUCUUUCUUCUUCCCCGUUUCGUUUGCUCCCCUCUUUCUGCUCCAGCCUCACGCAAGGGGGAGACUGAAGCUCUGCGAGGGGAAAAGAGAGAGAGAGGAAAAAAAGUGCUGCUAUUUCUACAGUCAGGGCCUCCCCACAGCCCGCCCCUCCAUAGACGGAGCUGCUUUUUCUUUUUUUUUUUUCCUUUUUUUUUCACUCACUACUAGCUGGAUUUUAACCCUCUGCUUCCAACUAGCUGCACAGCAGCAGUUCUGCAAAACCUGGCAACAAGUUGAUAUUCCAGGGCCCUUUUCUCUGACUUUUGCCGCAUAGAUUUUUUUGCGUCCAUCUUCGGAUUUUCUUUUGCUGUUUAAUUUCUUUUUUUUUUUUACUGAAAAAGAACAAAAUAUUCUAACUUUGUUGGGGAUAUUUUUCCCCCUCCUCUCCGCUUACGGUUUUUGUGUCGAAUUUAUUCGCUUCUUCUGGUUUUCUUUUGGAUGGAUUUUUUUUUUUUUUUUAAAUCUUCUUCCUUUUCGGCGGCCGGGUGCGUGGGGACCAGAGGGCAGGGAGGGGGGCACGAGGGAUGAAAUUUCUCCGCUGGAUGGGAGAGCCGGGACGCCAUUUCGGGUAACCUGCCUGCGGUACGCUUGCGGUCUGGAUGACCACACAGUGGAUGGCAGCGAGAACGCGGCCUGUGUGGCCGGAAGGCGGCUGUUGCACGUUUCAGUGUUCCUAAACACCCGUCCGCCAUCGCCACUUUUGACCCGCAUGAACUUCCGUACCGUGUUUGUUUUUUCGCUCCGCUUUUUGCCCCCCUCUUGUUUCCUUCCCGUGUCUUGCCGUUCGUCUCUCCCCCUCUCUCUCUCUCUCUGUCCGUCUAUCUCUCUCUCUCCCCUCCUCACACUGACUGAAAGGGAACGAGUGGAGAGCUGAGCCGAAGCGCUUUCUGGGACAGGUGCCAACUCCAGACAAAAGAAAAUUUUAAACUCAACAGCAGAGGGAAACGUUCCGAGUCGGAAAACAAUCUUUGAAUAGUUGCAUCGGAAUAUCUGGUGUUUGCACGUUGCGCCCCCUUGCAUGUACAAAUUGUUCCCCUGUGAUUGUGUAUUUCUGUGUGUGCGCGCUGUUGAAACUAAAUGUUUCAGCAGCAAACUAAACACUUUGACACUUUUCUGAUUCGGAGUGAAGGCAUCUGAUUCAGGGCGUGAUGAGGGGAGAGCGGCGUACGGAAAAGCUGCAUUAUUCAUGCCGAGGCUGGGAUUUGGAGCGCCUGUGCCAUUUGCAAGCAUCAGACAUGCCGUGUGCCUGUUUGCUAACAUUCCUCACGGAAAGACUUGUUAACCGGGGCGGACAGGGCCGAGCCGGAGCCCCGCAGACCACCGCGUGGCGGCCUCUCGUUGUGUCGGGCCUCGCGUCGCUGGCCCAGACCGGACCGUCCGCCGGAGAGGAGACGGGCUAGCUAUCGCUAAGGAGGUACGGAUCUACGACGAGGAGAGCUGGACGGAAAUUCAUCACCAGAACAAACAUUCGCCUCCUCGCUCUCUGGAGUCUGUUGUGGGAUGGCGUUCUAGCCUCUGGCACUAAUAUUUGGCCAACAAGUGACGUUGUGGGAAGUCAAAGGCAGCAUUGUGAAGACUACCUGAUGUGCUACUGACACCGUGACGGGGUGGGAGGCCAGCCGACCCCGUUCGCCCCCGUCGGCGCUCCUCGCCGCAUGUUACGGAGCAGGUGAGAAGCAUUAACAGAGAGCAGCAGCUGUGGCCCUGUGCUCCACACAUGUGGACCGGGAUGAGCGCUUUGUUGGGCUCAGCCACUCUCAGUAAUGCUCACGCUCUUCUUGUCUUGGAAACAAAGAAAAACAGCUCAGGAAACAAGAAACCCUACAGAGCAUUGUGCAUGUUGCGCCACUCCGACAACGCCUCGCAGACGUGUUCACACCUCCUGACCGUUCACACCUUUCGCCGUGUUACGAACACAAACUUUAAUGUGUUUUUAUUAUAGCGACUCCUGAAAUGAUACAAAGAAAGAUGCAUAACUCUUGGUUUUCUUUACAAAUAAAAAUCUGAAAAGUGUGGUGUGCAUUUGCGUUGAACCACCAAUUAGUGCCACUUAGUAAAUAAAUGGAGCCCAUCUGUGUGUGAUUUAAUCUCAGCGUAAAUGCAGCUGUCGUUGUUUGCAGUUUGCCACCUGCCCUGCAGAGGGCGCCGUGAAAACGUUGUCCUGUGGUCAGGGGAACCCAGUAGUGAGCUUAUUUUUGUAUCCAAAGCGGUAAAUUAAUCCUACACAUCUCCCCGACCUCACCAUCCCCACUGUGAAACACGGCAGUGGCUCCGUGAUGCUGUGGGGACACUUUUCUUCAGCAACGACAAGUAAGUUGGUCAAAGUUGGUCCUACGAUAGAUGGAACUACAAUGGAAUGAUUUCCAUUAUUGCAUAUUCAUGUGAAUGGCCUAGUCAAAGGCCAGACCUAAAACCAUAUGAGAAUCUGUGACAAGACUUCAAAAUUGCUCUCCAUCCAACCUGGACUGAGGUUUUACUUCACAACUGUGCACGACUCUGCCUUAGGCCUGUUCUUGCUGGAGAACUGACUCCCCCGCAGCAUGAUACCACCACUGCCGUGUUUUACAGUGGAAAACGUUCAGUUUUGUUCUCAUCAAACCAGAGCUUCUUUUUCCACAUGUGGCUUGUGUACAAACAGCACUUCUUAUAGUUUUAUUUAAAUGUUUUUGUUUUUUGUUGGGUUUUUUUACUUUUGUUUCUACAGCUCGUCUCAUUGAGAUCCAAAAUCUCAUUUACAAGACGGACCUGUUUCAAUUAAACAAAACGACUAAAAUCACAAACACGGCAACGUGAGCAAUUAAGAAAUUAACAAGCUAAUAAAAUAUCUGUUCACAAUCAAAUUACAAACUAAUAAUUGUUCAUUUGGUUAAUGUUUAAAUGGACUUAAGUGACUUUUAAAAAGAAAAUUUUAAGAGGUAUUGGAGUAAAGUCAUCCUAAAAUCACACCACUAGGUUUUUUAUUUGUAAAAAUCAUGAAUUAAUUUCCUUAAUUUUCCUUAAUUACACGCUACUUUAUGUGGAUCUAUCACACAAAAUAUCAUCAGUCCAUUGAGGUUUGUGUUUGCGACAUGACAGCAGGUAUGAAUAUAUUUAAAACAUUCUCAAUCAUCUUGUGUUGAUUUGAUUUAAUUGUGAUUUAAAUCAGCUCCACCGACUUUUUAUACGUAAACUCAAAGUGGGACAAUCAGGAGGUAAUGCUGAUUAAAUGUAGCAGCACAUUGUCAUACCUUUGUGGUUAAACCUAUUAGUUCCAAUUACGCCUGCAGCAUACAAGUUACCUACAGGUUGCAUUUGAAUGUGAAAAUAUCUUUGCCCAUGCAAUUUGUUUGGGAAAUGGGUGCCCCAGUCCGAUCAUUUGAAUUCCCCUUCAGGCCUGAGCCAUGAACUCCAAGACCCAGUUGUCACAUUGUGCUCUCCACACACAGGCUCCUUUCACGGCGCGGCGUCCCAGAGGAGAGCGCCGCGCGUGUUUGUGUUUCUGUGAAUCAUAACUGCUGCUUUGCAUUCAGCGAGGUGUGUCGAAGCGGAUUACAGGCAUGAACUCAGGCGGGAGCAGAGCGAAGGAGAGAAAGCUGUGUUUUUUUUUGUCUUUUUAUUUUUGUUUUGUUUUUUUUUUUUUUACAUCAAGACUGUCCUUUGGGGUGAGGUAGUAGGUUGUAUAGUUUUAGGGGUCACACCCUUUCUGUCAGAUAACUAUACAACUUACUGUCUUUCCUGAAGUGGCUGUAAUGUCGUCAGACACCAGCGCCGGAGAACUCUGAAACCGGCUCAACGCCGGAAAUGACAAGCUUACGGACAGACUGGACACAGGAUGUAACCGGGACGCGGAAUUUGAACCUUAGUUGCAAACGGUUUGUAGUAACGUUUGGUGGUUUUGCUCUCAAGUUUAAGCUCUUGUUUUAGACAAUCGUUGCAAUUUUACCUUUUGUCUUCCUCUGCAUUGUGUAAAACUGUUCCUUCACCACUACUUUUGUGAUAUGUGAAAUAUAGAAAUCAAAGCGUCACAAAAAGACCGUUUGAGGAUGUCGGUUUCCUGUUGCUGAGAGAACACACGUUUGUUAGAAAUCGCUGAGUUCAGUGGCAAACACGUAGGGCCUUUUCUGAUGUUCGUACGGGGUGAGGUAGUAGGUUGUGUGGUUUCAGGGUAGUGAUUUUGCCCAAUCAGGAGAUAACUAUACAACCUACUGCCUUCCCCGAAGGGCAGCAAUCCUACACCAUACAGAAACCAACAAACCCAACCAGUUUGAGUCACUGAGCCGCCUUUUCUUGGAGAGCAGCUUUUGAUUGUCAGCAGUGCAAUAGUAGCAUCAGGUUAAAGAUUUUUUUUUUUCAAGUUUUUGUUACGACCCAAAAUAAAAAGAAAAUAGAUAAUAAAUCUCA